UUUUUGGAAACAGCUUCUGCAUUUGGACUCUCCCAAGCUUAAAAGAGGAAUUUGGUGACAACUUUCAUUAGAACUUCCUGAAGAGACAACACAUGUGCACCAAACACAGCUCUGCCAGUACAUCUCUGCAUUUUCUAAGAGAAACUGCAGCAUGUGGAGUGGAUGUUGAAGUCCUUGCAUUCUAGGGACUUCUCCUUCGAUUUUUCUCCUUGAAGACUUGGCAGCCUACUGGAAACUGAAUUUCGAGGCAUGUUUUUUUCCAUGAGCAUUUCUGACUGUGUAGCACGAGGAUGUUUUCUAGGUUUUCUGUGUGUUGAAUAAACUUCCAUUUGAUUAUAUGAGUGGGCCAGAGAUAACACAGCAGGCAGCUUUGGGAGACUGACUGGAACAUUAUUGGAGCAUUUGAUCCAGGGAAACACAGCAAGUUAUAUGGUACUGCAUGCUGGACCAACUUCUGUUGGCAAGCUUCACUGAGUCCUUUAUGCAGAAGUGAGUGAUGGGAAUUUUUGAGUUUCAUUUUUGACACCUGAAUUGUUUGUGUGUGGCACGAACUGACUGUGUGUCCUGUUCCCCCUGCAAAACUCCUGGCUAGGGUUCAGGUGCCUUCCCUUCAUCCCUUAUCCAGGCGUUGGAAUCCCCGGCCUCACCCCUGGUCUCAGGGGAGUGGUUCACCCCUGCCAGACAUUUCUGCCACACAGUGGCAGAGUAGACACCUCCUUUGCCUUCUUCUCCCACGCUCACUCCAACUGAACUGAGAUCCCUACAGGUCCACUUGGACUCUGCUCUCGGUCCUGGUUCUCUUUGUUUCCCUACAAUCCGUCCCUGUUUCUCCCCCUUUUUCUCCAGUUUGUUUUUCUCCUCUGCAUUUUCUCCUACCCCCCUUCCCUCCUUCUCCCAAAUACCAACUCCCCUCCUUUCAUGUUCUCCUCCCCCUUUAUGCCCUCGGCCCUCUCUGGCCAUCCCACCCCUCAAGUUAAAGAGUCUGCGGCCCCGCCCCCACUCUCCCUUCGGACAAGUCAGCCCAGUCAGAGCUGGGCCACUCCGGUACCAGCUUUGAUUCUCCUGGCUCCGUCCCCCGAGUCUCCAGCAAGGCUCUGCCUGGCUCGCUCUUCCCUGCUACGAGCUGUGACAGGUUUGCCUGGCUGCCGGGAGUCUGGGGCUUCUCCACCGGCAGCCGCUGCCUGGGUGGUCUUGAGUUGGCCCUUUCUCUUUGGUUGGGUCACUUCUGAUGGCUCCAGUGGCCCAGAGAAUCCUUGGGGCUGCUAUCCAUCAUCUGCCCCCCCUCCGAGCUGGUGAGUUUGGGGGAGGUCCGCUGGUUUUGGUGGGAGUCUAGGGAGGGGGUUGCCCCCGUUCCUGGACACUGUGGUUGUGUUGUCAGGAAAUCCUGUAAGAACAUUGAAUUGAAUAGUUGCUAAAGAAGAAUCCAUGUGAGCCUGGGAGGUGAGGUGGCAGGUACUCAUAUGCCAUGGCAACAGCCCUAAAACAGAGUCUCUGCUAUCUACCUCUGCUGAUCCAGUGCCCAAGCAUUGCUUACAAAGAAUGGCAGAGGCAAACCUGGUACUGCUCGUGUAGAGAUAUGGGGAAAUGUAUGUGUGAUGUUGGGAACCAUCUUGUACCAGGGGGUUGCAAACUCUGCCCCCAGUAAUAAAAAAUCUCUACUCAAAUACAGCUUUGACUGUGUAUUUGCCAGACACUUUUAUUCUGUUUCCAAAUCCAGAUAUUCAAACAUUGGGACUGUUGUGGUCUGGAUGCCUAGUGGGAGGUAGGGGUACCAUUCAGCAAACAGAAGCCAUGAAGCGGUGACCUUGCCUGUGAGCAACUAUGCCCAGCAUCAUCCAGGCUUUAGAGAGCUAAUUUUUCUCAGUCAUGUGCAUCUGACUUGCUCAGAAUGCUGAAUUCCAUUUCAUCCAUUCCAUUUUAUAUUCAUAUAACUAUUGUUCAGUAGAUGCAUGUAAUUCAUAUAACCCUAUUUGCUGUGUCAUAUUGUAUUUGCAUAAAUGCAAAUGUACUGGGGGCCCAAAUGAAGGUGCAGGAGACCUCCCUACCAUUGCAGAAAAACCGUUGCUGGUGGGUUGAAUUUUUUUAACACAUCUGUUUGAGUGGCUCAUUCAUACUUCCUUCUGUCACUAGGGAACACAUUCUUUCCUGUUUAUUGCCUACCUCAA